AUUUAAGAGCAGUUAAUGAUGCGGUAGUUAAAGGACCACUCUAGGCACCCAGAGUGGCUUAAUAAAAUUAUACUGUGACAUGAGGGAAAAAACUUUAUUAAUAAAAAUAUUAUUGUUCAUUCAAUGCGUGCUUGGAGUUGUGUUUCUAUCCCAUACGUUUCUGCACGUUUUUAAUAGAAAUAAUUGCGACGUUGCUUGGACAUUCGCAAAACUUUAAUUUGUGAAUUGAAGUCACUCGUUUUUACUGGCGCCGGAAUAACUGUAGAGCGUGUUUUGAG